rnacentral:lncRNA from 1 species
CAACAAAAUAAAUAACUUGCGACCAGUACAACUGCAGAUUAAAUUAGAAUUGACACAGCAAUAACAUAUUGGUUUGUAAUCCGUCGUCCCAGCCACCAAAAUGCUCCGAAAAGGUAAGGGAUUCACAUGACUUCUCCACUUGAAAAUGCUUAUGUAAAAUAAUAUGUAUUUUAUACUUAUGGUUGUCAUGCAAGCUUAGAACACUACUAGUCGACAGAUAUCUGUGCUAUGGUUUCUUUUGUUUAACCUCCAUUGUUUAUUGUAACUGCAAAUUUUCAGCUAAAUGGGUGGAGCCUAGCUGUGAGAAAAAUAAGCAAUAAACAAAAAAACAUAAAAGUUAUUUCUGCGGUUUGGUUCGAGCCUAGCUCAGUAAAAAAAUAUCUACUAUCUUAAACACUUACAACAAUUGAUCCUAAUCUAUCACACACUCGUGACAAUUUUCUCACUUUUGCAUACUGAAGAAUAAUACUUUCACCACUAAAUUCACCCUGUGAAUUCAAAAGUAAGACUAUAAAACCAAAAAAGUUAUAAUACUAUGCACUCAAACAAUAAAGUUCCUCAUAAGGACAGAAUUAAGUGUUUAGUUCUCUCUAUACAAUAACAUAUACAAGUCUCUCAAUUAUAUAUCAAUCCCUAUUAAACAAUAAUAGAAUAAGUUGAAUACAAUAUAAUAAUAAAGUGCAAGGUAAACAUGCACUCUUGACAGCUGAGCAAUCAGUGUUCCAACUCAAUCCAAUAUCUACGAUCUAAGCGAUCAAAUAAGGUGAUUCCAUUCGAUCUAAUCUCCAAACUAUAUUUUCCAAAGUGACAUGAUAUUCAUUGAUGUGCUACAUCUCAUCCAACCCAUAAACACCGUUUAAUAAAUUGUCAAUAUUUUAUAUAUAAAAAAAAGUCUCAAACAACUCAAAUAACAAAGGUGUAGAGACUCCCUUAACACUCAAAUAUCAUUUCCAUCGGACUCUUGAAGGUUGUCUAAGGGAAACCAUGCAUAAAAUCAACAAGACCUAUCUUUGAUAUUCAAAUGAAAUCAAUUUCUCGAGUUCAGUUAAUUGUAGUAUUAUUAAACUUAAUGAUUGGGGUUCAUGAUUAUAUAUUUGAUCAGCUUCUUCUAAAAUUAAGUUAAAAACCUGAUUAUCAAAGACAUUAACCCAAAGAAUAUUAUUGUCUCUUUGUCUGCCUGUUCUAAUGCAAAGGUUCCUAGCGACUAGGAAACCACAUUAAAUGGUGUUUUGCUUCCACUAAAAAAGGAAUUAAAGUAAGUAUAGUAUGGGUGGAUAUUGAUAUGAAUCUUGCUUCUGCUGUUCUGCAAGUUUAGUUUUUAAAUGCAAAAACUUGACCAAAAUAUAAAAUUUCAUAUAUAAAUUAUACAUAAAAAAAACUUUUUUGUUUUUUGGAUAAAUAUUCGAAGUCGAGAAAUAAACUAAAGAGAGGACUACACAACUUGCAUUUGUCUGGGUCGAUUAAGUCAAACCAAUCAAUGAGCAGCACUUCACCGUCCCUUACCUUAACCCAUCCACUUUGAGAAGAAAAUUUUAUUAUAUGUAAAGAGUCCAAUUAGCAGGCAUGGAAAAAGUCUUCAUCAACAAUUAUCUUUAAAAGAAAAGGAUUGAAACUUGAAGCUCCAUCCUUGACCUUUCAUGACAUAGUGCUGAAAGGUGAGUUUGAGGGCCACAACCUAUUUAGAAGCUAACGGCGUUGAUUUG